rnacentral:rRNA from 1 species
AGGAUAAACGCUGGCGGCGUGCCUAACACAUGCAAGUCGAACGAGCUUUCUUUCUUCGCGAGAGGAAGGGGAGCGAGUGGCGGACGGGUGAGUAACACGUGGGUGACCUGCCCUUUGGUGAGGAAUACCGGCGAGAAAUCGCCGACAAUGCCGCAUAGGCUCUCUCACGAGAGCAAAGCUUCUUGCAAGAGAGGCGCCAGAGGAUGGGCCCGCGUCCGAUUAGCUGGUUGGUGGGGUAAGAGCCUACCAAGGCGACGAUCGGUAGCUGGUCUGAGAGGACGAUCAGCCACACUGGGAUUGAGAACGGCCCAGACUCCUACGGGGGGCAGCAGUGAGGAAUUUUCGGCAAUGGGGGCAACCCUGACCGAGCAACGCCGCGUGCAGGAAGAAGGUCUUCGGAUCGUAAACUGCUUUUCUCGGGGAAGAGAUCGGACGGUACCCGAGGAAUCAGCCCCGGCUAACUACGUGCCAGCAGCCGCGGUAAUACGUAGGGGGCGAGCGUUGUCCGGAGUUACUGGGCGUAAAGCGCACGCAGGCGGUCGUGUAAGUUUGGGGUUACAGCUCCCGGCUCAACUGGGAGAGCGCCUUGAAGACUGCAGGACUUGAGGGCCAGAGAGGGACACAGAAUUCCGGGUGUAGUGGUGAAAUGCGUAGAUAUCCGGAGGAAUACCAAAGGCGAAGGCAGUGUCCUGGCUGGUGACUGACGCUGAGGUGCGAAAGCUAGGGGAGCGAACGGGAUUAGAUACCCCGGUAGUCCUAGCCGUAAACGAUGACCACUAGGUGUGGGAGGUAUCGACCCCUUCCGUGCCGUAGCUAACGUGAUAAGUGGUCCGCCUGGGGAGUACGGUCGCAAGAUUAAA